rnacentral:antisense_RNA from 1 species
AUCUAUGGCAGCUGUGCGCGGGACACCUUCGGGUGUGCCGGGUUCCUUUGUGUCCGGUCUGCUAACCCGCGUACAGCUACCACCAUU